GCUGUUCGGUGCCUUUCACCACGUGGUGCUGGGUGAUGACCCCGAGGUCAAGGCCAGCAAGCCCGCCCCGGACAUCUUCCUGGCCUGCGCCCGCAGGUUCUCUCCUCAUUCCCCCACCCCCAUAUCAACCAGUGCCUGGUGCUGGAGGACACACCCCACGGCAUGGCGG